UGGAGUAACCAGUUUCCAAGUGGUGCCAUGU
rnacentral:piRNA from 1 species